GACGAACGCUGGCGGCGUGCUUAACACAUGCGAGUCGAACGGAAAGGCCCUGCUUUUGUGGGGUGCUCGAGUGGCGAACGGGUGAGUAACACGUGAGUAACCUGCCCUUGACUUUGGGAUAACUUCAGGAAACUGGGGCUAAUACCGGAUAGGAGCUCCUGCUGCAUGGUGGGGGUUGGAAAGUUUCGGCGGUUGGGGACGGACUCGCGGCUUAUCAGCUUGUUGGUGGGGUAGUGGCUUACCAAGGCUUUGACGGGUAGCCGGCCUGAGAGGGUGACCGGCCACAUUGGGACUGAGAUACGGCCCAGACUCCUACGGGAGGCAGCAGUGGGGAAUAUUGCACAAUGGGCGGAAGCCUGAUGCAGCAACGCCGCGUGCGGGAUGACGGCCUUCGGGUUGUAAACCGCUUUCGCCUGUGACGAAGCGUGAGUGACGGUAAUGGGUAAAGAAGCACCGGCUAACUACGUG
rnacentral:rRNA from 1 species